AUGCUGCAUGGCCUACCCAUAGCGGCGGUGGGAGCCUCCGCCGGGGAGAGCCCGCUCGGGGGCAGGAAGUGGCCCGGCCCUCCUCGUGGAGGGCGUUUCCGGAGCGCCUACUGUGCUCCUUGCCGGGGUGGGGGUCGUUACCGAGUGGGAACUUCUGCAAAUCCUGACUUUUGUCACUUCGCGCCCCGCACAAGAUGUCCUGCCGGCGGUGCGAUUGGUCCCGUUGCUUCGAGGGGAAACUGAGGCCACUUAGUCCGGGCACUUACCCGCAGCUAGUUAAGGACUAGGCUCUGAUGGAGACGCUUGUUACGACCUCAAUGGCCUGUAGAAUCUGGGAGGCCGCCUCCGACCUAAGCCCAAAAAGCACAUGAUCGGGCUCACAGGGGGCGGCCAGAGGUGAAAACAGCCAACGCUUUACAACGACGCUGUGCGGGGCACUUCGUGUGUGUCAUCCCGUCUCAUCCUCGGGUGAUAGGAACUGUUCAUUCGGGAAAAUUGCAAACAACUAAAUACCCCUCACCAGGAGCUGGCCCAUUAUAGCAACUCUGAGACCUCUCUACCGCAGGCUCUUAAAAUGGGACACCGCCGCCCGCCCCUCGGGCACCGGACACAGGCGCGGCUGAGGACUGACGGCCCCCUGGAAGCCACUCGGGAGUCCUAGAUUUUGCUGAAGGAAGAAGGGGCUGGAGAAAAUAAAAGGGCAGGAGUCUGGAGUGUGAUAACUGUGGCUUCGUCUCAUUUCCACCCGCCAAGACUAAAACUUCCCUCAUCUGCUCAGCGGGAAGAAACAGAAGUUCUUGGCCAUGGUGUGACAGUGACACCGAGAGAAGCCCGAUUCACUCCCAGGUUUCUGCUCACAGGUCACCUGGCCAGGGAUGCCCUCCCUGACCACCCUGAAUGCAACAGCAACACCGACCCUGCCUGUGCAGUGGACACUAUACUGCUCUUACCCUUCCUGGUUAUUUGUUACUGCUCACCUGGUUACUGCUUACCACAUUUGGUUAUUUGGUAUCCCUUCCCAUGAGGGGAGGGAUUUUGUUUUGUUCACUGCGACAUCCCCAGAAGCUACAACAGUACCUGGCAUAAGUUUUCAUCCCAACAGAAUUUUUCUGAGGAACUUGAUAUACAAAUUCUAUAAUUUAUAUUGGAAGAAUGAAGAUACAAGAAUAGUUUUUCUUUCUGCACAAAAAGGAUAAAGAAGGAGCACUCACCAGAUACCAAGGCGUGCUACAAAGCCAUGCUUAACAGUGGAUGUAACUGCUUCUUUGCUGUGGCAGAUUGUAUUUUCUGAAGGCCCCAACAGUCUCUCCUGUCCCUCCUCCUCUUCUGAAACCUUGAUACUUCCCUAUGAAGAGGUAGGGUCUAAUACUUCCCUCCUUCAACCUGAAGCCCCGCCUUGGGCUUGUGACUUGCUUGUAACCAGUCAAAUACAGUGGAAGAGUUACUACGUGACUUCCAGGGCUAGGUCAGAAAAGGAUGCAGCCUCAGGGUUCAACACACACUUGGGCCUGGAGCCACCAUGCAAGAAGGCUGCCAUGCUGCGAGGGAGCAAAGGCACGUGGAGGGACAUACACAGGGGCUGUGGCUGGCAGUCCUGGCCUUUGAGUCAUCCUUGUUUAAGUGCCAGGCACACACGUUAACUACCUUUAGGUAAUUCCAUACCUCAGGUGUCAUGUCACCCCAAGCCCUUGAGCCUUCCCAUCUGAAGCCCCAGGCUGUAUGGAGAAGAAACAAGAUGUUCCUGCCACGCUCUUUCUGAACUGCUGACAUACAGAAUCUGUGACCAUAAUAAAAUGGUUGUUUUGUGCCA
rnacentral:lncRNA from 1 species